rnacentral:rRNA from 1 species
GACGAACGCUGGCGGCGUGCCUAAUACAUGCAAGUUGAACGCAACAAAGACACCAGAGCUUGCUCUACCGUCUUUGUUGAGUAGCGAACGGGUGAGUAACGCGUGGGUAACCUGCCUUAUAGCGGGGGAUAACUAUUGGAAACGAUAGCUAAUACCGCAUAACAAUAGAGAUUGCAUAAUCUUUAUUUGAAAGUGCCAACUGGUACACUAUGAGAUGGACCCGCGUUGUAUUAGCUAAGUUGGUAGUGUAAUGGACUACCAAGGCGAUGAUACAUAGCCGACCUGAGAGGGUGAUCGGCCACAUUGGGACUGAGACACGGCCCAAAACUUCCUACGGGGA